rnacentral:rRNA from 1 species
AUUGAACGCUGGCGGCAGGCCUAACACAUGCAAGUCGAACGGUAGCACAGAGGAGCUUGCUCCUUGGGUGACGAGUGGCGGACGGGUGAGUAAUGUCUGGGAAACUGCCCGAUGGAGGGGGAUAACUACUGGAAACGGUAGCUAAUACCGCAUAAUGUCGCGAGACCAAAGUGGGGGGACCUUCGGGCCUCAUACCAUCGGAUGUGCCCAGAUGGGAUUAGCUUGUAGGUGAGG